UUCUGUCCCCCAGCGAUCAAAUGCUACCAAUCAUUUCCUCAUUAGUUCAUCUAGAAGAACUUCUGCGUUGAUCGAUAUCACCUCUUCGGAUCUGCAGCUUUUGCUUUAUAUCGGACUUUUAGUUCGUUGCGUAGAUCAUGGAGCAGAAAGACAGCAAGACUACGAAGCCCACCGAGCCUCAAGCCAAAGCACAAGAGGCUCCUAAAUCGGAUAGCGAGUCCCAGACUUGGGUCAAGGCAGUAGGUCACUAUCUGUGCUGCUGCUGGAUCUGCUGCGAUUCCACUACACCGACCAAGGGAACUAACAAAUGAUCGAGGAUGGUCGCAUCAGCAGGUGAAAACAUAUAUGAUUCCAAUGAUUGACGAGCUAUGGCGUAUUAAGUGUGGGGUUGAUUUGUGAUUUACUUGAUGUAAUCUAAUAAGUUUCCGAAACUCUUUUUCAAAGUACUAAUGUGCGACUUGACUGUAAGAGCAAUCGAGUGAAUUUAUAAUAUCAAUGGACUGUUGGUUAAA